AUCAAUUAUCAGCCUUUUGGCUAAGAUUGCAUGUAGUAUCUGUUCUCAUCAGUUUAAAAUAUGAUAUGUCCUCCAUCUGAAGACAAUAUAUUAAAUGGAUUUUUGAUCAGGGAUUCAGAAUAAGAGUUUUUCUCCUUCCACUCUAUGCAAUGACCUAGCACUGCAGUACUUCCAGGAAUAGUGCACCCAGU